UUGAGGAGGCGACCAUUGGAAGCGCAGCUUACAAUUCUUAUGUCGCCGACGACUUGCCGCCGAAGCGAAGCUGAGGGGGCGUUUCCUUAU
rnacentral:sRNA from 12 species